GAUGUAGUUUAGUUAUUUUAUUUUCUAUUUUGUUAAAUCUAAUUUUAUUUUGUUUUAUUUAAAGAUCUAAUUUAAAAAUCCUCCUUUGUUUUACUUUUUCGACACUAACCGGGCGAGAGCAGGGUUGUUCUCGCGAGGGUUUAACGUCAUAUGACAGCUGCACGUCAGUCCUAAAUUGACAGCCACUGCUUAUAUUGCUGCUAAAUCGCACCUUGGGUAGCAGACGCUGUGGGACUUUGACGUGCAGACAUAUGGUCGCUCAUCUGAACGCUGAAACGAUCUCUGGUUGUCAAAAGAGGAACUGGCCAGGUGUGUUCCAGAUCCCACCCCCGCUCGGAGUAACUGAAGGAUCUGGGACACAUUAAGAAUUGUCUGGUUUUUGUAUAUUGACCGGACUGGCGAGCUAACCAUAGCGGAUUCAGAAAGUCACCCAUAAUCUGAGGAAACAUCUCCAAACCGGAAGGGAAAUUCAACCAACCACUUCACAGCUGGAACUAAAUGACUAUUUUUGUUUUUUCCCUUCCGUCACCGACAGAGACUUCCUUGGUUUAAGGAACUGGACUUUAAAGCUGUGAAACAAUUUGUAUAUAUUGUAAAUAUAAAUACACCUCAUUGAUUUUGCACUC